rnacentral:rRNA from 1 species
AGUGAACGCUGGCGGUAGGCCUAACACAUGCAAGUCGAACGGCAGCACAGUAAGAGCUUGCUCUUACGGGUGGCGAGUGGCGGACGGGUGAGGAAUACAUCGGAAUCUACUUUUUCGUGGGGGAUAACGUAGGGAAACUUACGCUAAUACCGCAUACGACCUACGGGUGAAAGCAGGGGAUCUUCGGACCUUGCGCGAUUGAAUGAGCCGAUGUCGGAUUAGCUAGUUGGCGGGGUAAAGGCCCACCAAGGCGACGAUCCGUAGCUGGUCUGAGAGGAUGAUCAGCCACACUGGAGCUGAGACACGGUCCAGACUCCUACGGGGGGCAGCAGUGGGGAAUAUUGGACAAUGGGCGCAAGCCUGAUCCAGCCAUACCGCGUGGGUGAAGAAGGCCUUCGGGUUGUAAAGCCCUUUUGUUGGGAAAGAAAAGCAGCAGGUUAAUACCCCGCUGUUCUGACGGUACCCAAAGAAUAAGCACCGGCUAACUUCG